GAUGAACGCUGGCGGCGUGCUUAACACAUGCAAGUCGAAGGGAGUGGCGAACGGGUGAGUAACACGUGAGUAACCUGUCCUUUUCUUUGGGAUAAGCUUCCGAAAGGGUGUUUAAUACCUUAUGUAAAGGGUGGGCUCGCGGUCUAUCAGCUUGUUGGUGGGGUGAUGGCUUACCAAGGCUUUGACGGGUAGCCGGCCUGAGAGGGGGGUCGGUCACAUUGGGACUGAGAUACGGCCCAGACUCCUACGGGAGGCAGCAGUGGGGAAUAUUGCACAAUGGGCGAAAGCCUGAUGCAGCCAUGCCGCGUGUGUGAAGAAGGCCUUCGGGUUGUAAAGCACUUUCAGCGAGGAGGCGUUACUCGCAGAAGAAGCACCGGCUAACUCCGUGCCAGCCGCCGCGGUAAUUC
rnacentral:rRNA from 1 species